rnacentral:rRNA from 1 species
CAGUCGCCGCGGUAAUACGUAGGUGGCAAGCGUUGUCCGGAAUUAUUGGGCGUAAAGGGCUUGCAGGCGGUUUCUUAAGUCUGAUGUGAAAGCCCCCGGCUCAACCGGGGAGGGUCAUUGGAAACUGGGAAACUUGAGUGCAGAAGAGGAGAGUGGAAUUCCACGUGUAGCGGUGAAAUGCGUAGAGAUGUGGAGGAACACCAGUGGCGAAGGCGACUCUCUGGUCUGUAACUGACGCUGAGGAGCGAAAGCGUGGGGAGCGAACAGGAUUAGAUACCCCAGUAGUCCCUGUCUCUUAUAC